CUGUCCAACGUUAAUCGGGGCAGGGUGAGUCGGCUCCUAAGGCGAGGCUGAAAAGCGUAGUCGAUGGGAAACAGGUUAAUAUUCCUGUACUUGGUAAAGCUGCGAUGUGGGGACGGAGUAGGUUAGGUUAUCGCACUGUUGGAUAUGUGCGUUUAAGUUGGUAGGUGGGAAGUUUAGGCAAAUCCGGACUUCCUUAACACAGAGAGAUGAUGACGAGGCUCUACGGAGCUGAAGUAACUGAUACCACACUUCCAGGAAAAGCCACUAAGCGAAAGGCUUUACUAAACCGUACUGAAAACCGACACAGGUGGUCAGGUAGAGAAUACUCAGGCGCUUGAGAGAACUCGGGUGAAGGAACUAGGCAAAAUAGCACCGUAACUUCGGGAGAAGGUGCGCCGGCGUAGAUUGUAGUCCCUAGCGGGCGAAGGUUGAACCGGUCGAAGAUACCAGCUGGCUGCAACUGUUUAUUAAAAACACAGCACUCUGCAAACACGAAAGUGGACGUAUAGGGUGUGAUGCCUGCCCGGUGCUGGAAGGUUAAUUGAUGGUGUCAUCGCAAGAGAAGCACCUGAUCGAAGCCCCAGUAAACGGCGGCCGUAACUAUAACGGUCCUAAGGUAGCGAAAUUCCUUGUCGGGUAAGUUCCGACCUGCACGAAUGGCAUAAUGAUGGCCAGGCUGUCUCCACCCGAGACUCAGUGAAAUUGAAAUCGCCGUGAAGAUGCGGUGUACCCGCGGCUAGACGGAAAGACCCCGUGAACCUUUACUAUAGCUUGACACUGAACAUUGAAUUUUGAUGUGUAGGAUAGGUGGGAGCCUUUGAAGCAGUGACGCCAGUCAUUGUGGAGGCGACCUUGAAAUACCACCCUUUAACGUUUGAUGUUCUAACGAAGAUGACGAAACGUGGUCUCGGACAGUGUCUGGUGGGUAGUUUGACUGGGGCGGUCUCCUCCCAAAGCGUAACGGAGGAGCACGAAGGUUUGCUAAUCACGGUCGGACAUCGUGAGGUUAGUGCAAUGGUAUAAGCAAGCUUAACUGCGAGACAGACAAGUCGAGCAGGUACGAAAGUAGGUCAUAGUGAUCCGGUGGUUCUGAAUGGAAGGGCCAUCGCUCAACGGAUAAAAGGUACUCCGGGGAUAACAGGCUGAUACCGCCCAAGAGUUCAUAUCGACGGCGGUGUUUGGCACCUCGAUGUCGGCUCAUCACAUCCUGGGGCUGAAGUAGGUCCCAAGGGUAUGGCUGUUCGCCAUUUAAAGUGGUACGCGAGCUGGGUUUAGAACGUCGUGAGACAGUUCGGUCCCUAUCUGCCGUGGGCGUUGGAUGAUUGAUUGGGGCUGCUCCUAGUACGAGAGGACCGGAGUGGACGCAUCACUGGUGUUCCAGUUGUCUCGCCAGAGGCAUUGCUGGGUAGCUAAAUGCGGAAGAGAUAAGUGCUGAAAGCAUCUAAGCACGAAACUUGCCAAGAGAUGAGUCAUCCCUGACUUUAAGUCAGUAAGGGUUGUUGUAGACUACGACGUAGAUAGGUCAGGUGUGUAAGUGUAGUGAUACAUUGAGCUAACAGAUACUAAUUGCCCGAGAGGCUUAACU
rnacentral:rRNA from 1 species